UACGUAGGGUGCAAGCGUUAAUCGGAAUUACUGGGCGUAAAGCGUGCGCAGGCGGUUUUGUAAGUCUGUCGUGAAAUCCCCGGGCUCAACCUGGGAAUUGCGAUGGAGACUGCAAGGCUAGAAUCUGGCAGAGGGGGGUAGAAUUCCACGUGUAGCAGUGAAAUGCGUAGAGAUGUGGGAGGAACACCGAUGGCGAAGGCAGCCCCCUGGGUCAAGAUUGACGCUCAUGCACGAAAGGCGUGGGGAGCAAACAGG
rnacentral:rRNA from 1 species